GAUGAAUGCUGGCGGCGUGCUUAACACAUGCAAGUCGAGCGGCAGCGCGAAGAGUUUACUCUUUGGCGGCGAGCGGCGGACGGCUGAGUAACGCGUGGGAACAUGCCCUAAAGUGAGGAAUAACUGCCCGAAAGGGUGGCUAAUGCCGCAUAUGAUCUUCGGAUUAAAGGAUUUAUCCGCUUUAGGAGUGGCCUGCGUAUGAUUAGGUAGUUGGUGAGGUAAUGGCUCACCAAGCCGACGAUCAUUAGCUGGUCUGAGAGGAUGACCAGCCAGACUGGAACUGAGACACGGUCCAGACUCCUACGGGAAGCAGCAGUGAGGAAUAUUCCACAAUGGGCGAAAGCCUGAUGGAGCAACGCCGCGUGAAGGAUGAAGGCCCUCGGGUCGUAAACUUCUUUUAUAAGUGAAGAAUAUGACGGUAACUUAUGAAUAAGCACCGGCUAACUACGUGCCAGCAGCCGCAGUAA
rnacentral:rRNA from 1 species